AACGAACGCUGGCGGCGUGCCUAACACAUGCAAGUCGAACGAUGUAUUUAUCGUAGCAAUACGGUGGAUGCAUAGUGGCGCACGGGUGAGUAACACGUGAGUGAUCUGCCUCCAAGAUCGGGAUAACCUGCCGAAAGGCGAGCUAAUACCGGAUGAGGCCACAGUACCUUAGCGGUACAGGGGUUAAAGGUGGCGCAAGCUACCCCUUGGAGGUGAGCUCGCGGCCCAUCAGCUAGUUGGUAGGGUAAUGGCCUACCAAGGCGAUAACGGGUAGCUGGUCUGAGAGGACGACCAGCCACACUGGAACUGAGACACGGUCCAGACUCCUACGGGAGGCAGCAGAGGGGAAUAUUGCGCAAUGGGGGAAACCCUGACGCAGCAACGCCGCGUGGGUGAUGAAGGCCUUCGGGUCGUAAAGCCCUGUCAGCGGGGAAGAAACUCCGGGAUUCGAAUAGGGUCUCGGAUUGACGGUACCCGCGGAGGAAGCACCGGCUAACUCCGUGCCAGCAGCCGCCGUAA
rnacentral:rRNA from 1 species